AAGUCGUAACAAGGUUUCCGUAGGUGAACCUGCGGAAGGAUCAUUAACAGAUUCUUUAUUGAAAUCUAACCCCGUGUGAACUGUUACCUUUGUCUUGGCGUCAGUGAUGGCACUCUUGAGAUAGCAGGUGUACCUGUUGUCCUGAGGGUGUCCUCUAGGCGUCAUCUUUUAACCAACUUGAAUAUAUGACCGAGUAUACCCCAAAAGACUAGAAAACUUUUAGCAACGGAUCUCUAGGCUCUU
rnacentral:misc_RNA from 1 species